GUGCCUGCAGCCGCGGUAAUACGUAGGGGGCUAGCGUUAUCCGGAAUUACUGGGCGUAAAGGGUGCGUAGGUGGUUUCUUAAGUCAGAGGUGAAAGGCUACGGCUCAACCGUAGUAAGCCUUUGAAACUGGGAAACUUGAGUGCAGGAGAGGAGAUUGGAAUUCCUAGUGUAGCGGUGAAAUGCGUAGAUAUUAGGAGGAACACCAGUUGCGAAGGCGGCUCUCUGGACUGUAACUGACACUGAGGCACGAAAGCGUGGGGAGCAAACAGGAUUAGAUACCCUGGUAGUCCACGCCGUAAACGAUGAGUACUAGCUGUCGGAGGUUACCCCCUUCGGUGGCGCAGCUAACGCAUUAAGUACUCCGCCUGGGAAAGUACGCUCGCAAGAGUG
rnacentral:rRNA from 1 species